AAUCAACGCUGGCGGCGUGCCUAACACAUGCAAGUCGAACGCGAAAGCCCGCAAGGGUGAGUAGAGUGGCGCACGGGUGAGUAACGCGUGGACAACCUGCCUUCGAGUGGGGAAUAACCUUCCGAAAGGAGGGCUAAUACCGCAUAACACCUCGGGACACAAGUUCUGGGGUUGAAAAGAGCAAUUUGCUCGAAGAGGGGUCCGCGCCUGAUUAGCUAGUUGGUGAGGUAACGGCUCACCAAGGCUUCGAUCAGUAGCCGUCCUGAGAGGGAGCACGGCCACACUGGAACUGAGACACGGUCCAGACUCCUACGGGAGGCAGCAGUGGGGAAUUUUGGCAAUGGGCGAAAGCCUGACCAAGCAACGCCGCGUGGGUGAUGAAGUAUC
rnacentral:rRNA from 1 species